UGGCGGCGUGCUCGAAAAUGUUAAAGUUCUUAUUUCAUGGUAUAACUUUGGUAUGCUUGGACCUAGAGUCUUCAAACUUGACAUGAAGGUUGGCCAGGAUUAACAGAUGACCACUGGUCAUUUCAAGGUCAUUCAUUUGAAGGUCAAGGUCACUGUGACCUUCAAUAUAAAAAAUGUUAAAGUUCUUAUAACUUUGGUAUGCUUGGACCUAGAGUCUUGAAACUUGACAUGAAGGUUGGCCAUAACUAGUUAGUAACCACUGGUCAUUUCAAGGUCAUUCAUUUGAAGGUCAAGGUCACUGUGACCUUGAAUGUAAAAAUGUUAAAGUUCUUAUUUCAUGGUAUAACUUUGGUAUGCUUGGACCUAGAGUCUUCAAACUUGACAUGAAGGUUGGCCAGGAUUAACAGAUGACCACUGGUCAUUUCAAGGUCAUUCAUUUGAAGGUGAAGGUCACUGUGACCUUCAAUAUAAAAAUGUUAAAGUUGUUAUAACUUUGGUAUGCUUGGACCUAGAGUCUUGAAACUUGACAUGAAGGUUGGCCAGAACUAGUAAGUAACCACUGGACAUUUCAAGGUCAUUCAUUUGAAGGUCAAGGUAUGUGAAAGCAAAACAAUAAAUAGUAUUAUUUCAUCUAAGUUUAUUUUCUUACAUUUGAUAAUGAAAUUGAUGGAAACUUCAAACAAUAUCUUACUAAUUUGCUAAUAAAAAAAUUGAGAUCAAACUUU